GACGAACGCUGGCGGCGUGCUUAACACAUGCAAGUCGAACGAAGUGGCGAACGGGUGAGUAACGCGUAAUCAACCUGCCCUUCAGUGGGGGACAACAGUUGGAAACGACUGCUAAUACCGCAUACUGAAGGUGGGGAUUGCGUCUGAUUAGCUAGUUGGAGGGGUAACGGCCCACCAAGGCGAUGAUAAGUAGACGGUCUGAGAGGAUGUGCGGGCACAUUGGGACUGAGACACGGGCCAGACUCCUAUGGGAGGCAGCAGUGGGGAAUCUUCGGCAAUGGGGGGAACCCUGACCGAGCAACGCCGCGUGAGUGAAGAAGGUUUUCGGAUCGUAAAGCUCUGUUGUUAAGGAAGCGGUACUUAACCAGAAAGGGACGGCUAACUACGUGCCAGCAGCCGCGGUAAUAC
rnacentral:rRNA from 1 species